UGACCUACGGGAGGCAGCAGUGAGGAAUAUUGGUCAAUGGGCGGAAGCCUGAACCAGCCAAGUCGCGUGAGGGAAGAAGGCCCUGCGGGUCGCAGACCUCUUUGGACGGGGAGCAAGGCCGCCGACGUGUCGGCGGAAGGAGAGUACCCGUAGAACAAGCAUCGGCUAACUCCGUGCCAGCAGCCGCGGUAAUACGGAGGAUCCAAGCGUUAUCCGGAUUUAUUGGGUUUAAAGGGUGCGUAGGCGGUUUGAUAAGUUAGAGGUGAGAUACCGGGGCUCAACACCGGAACUGCCUCUAAUACUGU
rnacentral:rRNA from 1 species